UACGAACUGUGCGAACGUUACUCGGAAUCACUGGGCUUACAGGGUGCGUAGGCGGCUUGCUAAGCAGGGUGUGAAAUCCCUCGGCUCAACCGAGGAACUGCGCUCUGAACUGGCGAGCUGGAGGAUGCUAGAGGUGUAUGGAACAUCUAGUGGAGCGGUGAAAUGUGUUGAUAUUAGAUGGAACACCGGAGGCGAAGGCGAUACACUGGGGCAUAUCUGACGCUGAGGCACGAAAGCCAGGGGAGCAAACGGG
rnacentral:ncRNA from 2 species